rnacentral:tRNA from 1 species
GCGGGUGUAGCUCAGUUGGUAGAGCGCCAGCCUUCCAAGCUGGAUGUCGCCGGUUCGAGCCCGGUCGCCCGCU